UUCCUACGGGGGGCAGCAGUGGGGGAUAUUGCACAAUGGGGGGAACCCUGAUGCAGCGACGCCGCGUGAGCGAAGAAGUACCUCGGUAUGUAAAGCUCUAUCAGCAGGGAAGAAAAUGACGGUACCUGACUAAGAAGCCCCGGCUAAAUACGUGCCAGCAGCCGCGGUAAUACGUAGGGGGCAAGCGUUAUCCGGAUUUACUGGGUGUAAAGGGAGCGUAGGUGGCAGGGCAAGUCAGAUGUGAAAACCCGGGGCUCAACUCCGGGAGUGCAUUUGAAACUGUCCAGCUAGAGUGCAGGAGAGGG
rnacentral:rRNA from 1 species